GCAGAAAAUCAGGUUAUCAAUUUUAUUGGAGAUCUGUCGAAAUCUAACUCUGGUCAAAUUCAUACAAAUAACAUAGAAAAAUAAAAUAAACAAGCAUCUCGCUCAACUGAGACAUGCCAGCUAUGAAAGUGACGUUGCUUCAACAGAUCUCUUCGGAGCAACGCCAAAAGGAUAGAAAUCUGGCCAGAUUUAGCCGUUACCGCAUGACAGUAGCGGCGGUGGUAGUAUGGAGAGCCAAAAUUGGUUGUCAACAGUUUGCCCUGUUUCGAUUGAAGAUAAUGUAAAAGUCUUUAAAUGUAAACGUUGACGUGUAGCCAAUUUCGCUCGACAAAAAAUUAUUUUUGAUAAAAAUUUGGGUGAACUCUAAUUUAAGGUUGCAUACAAUUCCAAAUUGUAUGAGGAUUAGGUCGGGUAUAGUUCAAAAGCUAUCCCAACACAUCCUAUUUUGAGUUGGACAAACUCAAUGCGUCCUCGAAUUCUGCAAAAUUUAUAAAACUGAAAAGCGGCAGACAAACAAGUAGCUAAACUUGAUUUUUUAAGAAAGCCAAAGAAUGACAUGUAAUGCUUUAACUAAUGUAGAGAUAAAUAAAUAAAGGCAUUACACAAUUUUAAUCGAAGACAAUAAAAAUAUUCAACUGAAGACAGACACGCAUAAAGGUCUUAUCCGAGGGCAGACUAAUCCAAAAUGUCUUAUUUUAGGGUGGACAAACCCAAUUCAUGCUUGCAAAAAUUGUAAAAAAAAUUAAGGUGAAUUUUUUUUUUAUUUUUUAUUUUUUUUCUUUUUUAGAAAUUAAAGAUAGCAUGCAGUGCUUAACUAAAUAAGGAAAGAAAAAAAUGGCACAAGCAAAGAUAACAUCUAGUGCUUAAAUAAUAAAUUAAGCGCAUUGUGCUAUGUGCAGGUAAAGACAAAGCAUGCAGUGCUUAAAUAACAAAUAAAUGCACUGUGAUGUGUAAAUAAAUGUAAAGAUGAAAUGCGGUGCUUAAAUCAUAAAACAAAUGCAUUGCGAUAUGUGCAAGAAAAAACCAAGAUGGCAUGCAGUGCUUAAAUGAUAAAAUAAAUGCAUUACGAUAGUUGCGAGGCAUGAGGUGCAUAAAUAAUAAAAUGCAUUGCUAUAUGUGCGUACAGUGCUUAAACAACAAAAAUAAAUGUAUUGUGAUAUGUGUCAGCAAAGGCAAAAUGACAUGCAGUGCUUAAAUGAUGAAAAUAAAUGCAUUGCGAUAUUUGCGAGGCGUGCAGUGCCUAGAUGAUAAAAUAAAUGCAUUAUAUUAUAUGCGUACAGUGCUUAAAUGCAUAGCAAUAUGCGACAAAAAAGGCAAGAAUGGCAUGCGAUGUUGAAAUGAUAAAAUAAAAGUAUUGCAAAAUGUGUCAGGAAAUGCAAAGAUGACAUGCAGUGCUUAAAUAAUAAAAUAAAUGCGUUGCAAUAUUUGCUAGGCGUGCAAUGCCUAAAUGAUAAAAUAAAUGCAUUGCGAUAUAUGCGUGCAGUGCUUAAAUGCGUAGGCAUAUGCGUCAAUAAAGGCAAAGAUGACAUGUGAUGCUUAAAUAAUAAAAUAAAUGCAUUGCAAUAUUUUCGAGGCGUGCAGUGCCUAAAUGUUAAAAUAAAUGUAUUGCGUUAUGUACGAAAGUGCUUAAAUGAUAAAUCCAUUACGAUAUGCGCAGGCAAAUGCAAAGAUGGCAUGCGAUGCUUAAAUGAUAAAAUAAAAAAAUUCUUUGUGAUGCGUACAAAUACAGACAAGAAUAAAAUGUAGUGCUUAAAUGACAAAUAAAUGCAUUGUGGUAUGUUGCCAGCAUAGGCAAAGAUGACAUGCAGUGCUUAAAUGAUAAGAUAAAUGUAUUGUGAUAUUUGCGAGGCAUGCAGUGGUUAAAUAACAAAAUGCAUUGCAAUAUGAGCCAUUAUAGGCGAAGAUGAUAUGAAGUGCUUAAAUAAUAAAAUAAAUGCAUUGCGAUACGUACAGAUAAAGGCAAAGACAAUAUGCGGUGCUUAAAUGCAUUGUGAUGCGUGCAGAUAAAGAUAAAGAUAUCAUGCAGUGCUUAAAUGAUAAAAUUAAUAAAUGCAUUAUGGUGCAUGCAAGUAAAGACAAUAAUAAAAUGCGGUGCUUAAAUGAUAAAAUAAAUGUGUUGCAAUGCAUCCAAGUAAAGGCAAAAAUAGAAUGUGGUACUUAAAUGAUAAAAUAAAUGCAUUGUAAUGCAUGAAAAUAAAGACAAAGAUAAAAUGUAGUGCUUAAUGAUAAAAUAAAUGCAUUGCGAUAGUGUCAGCAAAGGCAAAAAUAACAUGCAGUGUUAAAUAAUAAAAUAAAUUUAUUGUUAGAUGUGUAAUAAAGACAAGAAAAACAUACAAUGCUUAAAUAACAAAUGAUAAAAUAAAUAAAUUGCGAUGCGUGAAAGUAAAGGCAAAGAUAGCAUACAGUGCAAAAUAAAUAAAUGAAGUGCGGUAUGUGCAAGUAAAGGCAAGCAAGAAUAAAUAUUUAAUUGAAGAAAAACAUACAUAACUGUCUUAUUGGAGGGAAAACUGACCUAAUUAUCCUAUUUUAGGGUGGACAAACCCCUGUAAAAAAUGAUUGUUGAGCAAAGAAUUAUUUGGGAAUGAAAGUCUUCAAAUAUUUUCGAUGUUGCUUUUCAAAUUGCCCCAGUAUCGAGCUAUGAAAUGCUGAAAAAUGCAAGAUUGUGUUCUUGUUGGGGAGAAAAAAUGAUUAUAAGGUUGUGCUGACCAAACUCUGUAUAGAGCUUCCUACAUAUCUCAAGUGUUACGAGAAUCAAGUCAACGUAGUUCGAAAUAAGAAAAAUAGAGUAAAUUUUGAGGCGGCUCUUAAAAUUUGCCCCAGUAUAAGAUUUAUACUGGCAUUGUCUCCUUUGAAAGGAGCUUUUUAAGAAAAAAAAUAUCUUGUUAUUAAAAAAAUGCACGACAUCUCCAAUUGUUUACGGGGACUUGAAAAUAAAUGACGUCUUCAAUUGUCUACGAAGACUGAUGCAUGACAUCUUCGAUUGCUUGUGGAGGCUGAUGUCGUCUUCGAUUGCCUACGAAGACUGAGACCCUCAACUAGUGAAGUGGCUGAACUCUAAUAGUCUCUCGACUGGUAAGACUAUAAAAAUAUAAAAUACUCAAGAUGAGUGUCUGACAAAAUAAAUAAAAUGUCAGUAUUAAAGGUAUGUGCUUGAAAGAAAAAGUCAAAUGCCCGUAUUUUAAAAUUAGGCACCUUGAAUGAAAAGUAAAAAAUGCGUGUAUGUAAAGUGAGCACCUUGAAUGAAAUGUAAGAAAAUGUCUGUAUGUGAAAGUAGGCCUCUUGAAAAUAAAAAACUAUUGUACUUUUUGGUAAAAAGUGUUGAAAGAUGAAGAAGGCACAAUUGUGUCUUGACUUCAGUUGAUACCAAUAAUUAGUAGUGUGUAUAAGAAUUUCCUUAUCUCUUUCCCAGCUAACCGAGAUCGACUUCAGGGUAACUCCUAUAGUUUCAGGUGGUACCUCAGACAUACUCAAGUAUCGAUAAGAUUUGUUCGUCUUGCUUCAAACAAAGAUUUUGAGCUAUACUUAUUCUCAUGUUUCAAGUGCCCUCUCCAUAAAGAAAGUCCUAUUUCAAACAUAUUUGAGUAAUUUUUCUUUUUAAAUUUGGGAACAUCUAGAGAAAUACACUCACACUCAGAAAGGAAUUCAAUGCAUGCAAUUAUGACACCAUAAGCUUGACCUUCAUGUAUGUAUCCACUAAUGUGAGAACACUUGAAAGAGGAUCUCGUAGGACUUGUUAUUGACUUUUAAUGUAGGCUUGGGGGCUGAUAGGAUGAUAUUUGGAAUAAAAGUGACUAAUUUCUCAAUGAGCAUCGCACUGCAUUUUGCUUUCAACAUUUGUUGUGUUUUGACACGUGAUCAUUUUUUACUGUGCUUUGUUGCACCUUGCUUUGCAUUUUCUUCGACUUUUUUUUUUAACUUUGCGUUGGAGUUUUUUUUCUUUUUUUUCAAGAAACAAUAUAUUUUGUUCUCUUUUUUUUCUUUUUUCCUUUUUUAUGGGGUUUUGCUCCUUUUGAAGUCGUUUUUUCAUUUUUGUUCAUCUGGACAACAUAUUUUAUAUUUUGUGUCUUUGAUCUUGAAUCUUCAUUCGCAAUUUGCACGUAUUUAGUGCGUUCAAGAAGGUGAGGCCAAGAGAGGGAUAGUGCAUGUAAGCACUCAAAAAGGUAUAGGCUCAGAUGCGGUUGUCCAAAGAAAAGGUUUUAGGCUCAAAAGAGGAAAUGAUAGGGAUUAAUGUCAUUUGGUGGACUGUGAAAGGCACAAUCGUAUCAAAGAAGGCCUACGAUCCUUUCCUAAACCAAGUGUAACUCAGGAUUUCGCCUCAACAAACAUUAAGGUUAAGUUCUAGAUCAACAAUUUAAUACAAUGAAUUAAACUAAAGCUCGUCACACAAUGCACAUGAAACGAUGAGGUUGGCUUUCUUUUUGUCUUAGAUGCAUGCAAGAGAAUUUUUUUCAAGCGUUACUCGGGUGUGAUAAAACGUACCAAAAGAAUCUAUGGUUUACCAUAAAAUCAGUCCUUUACAUCAUACCACUUUAUUCUUUCUCAUGCACACUCCUAACUGUAUUGAUAUCAACCAAGUCAAAAUUUUAUUAUUUUAUUUUAUUUUUUAAAAAAGAAUAGGACCGAACCCAAAUGGGGGUUGCCUACGUAUCUUGUGAAAAUGAUAAUCAGGUCUACUUAGUUCAGACAAAUUUGUGAAUUAGUACAUGCAAUGUACAAUUGUAAAAAAAUGAUGGCCAUUCUUAAAAAUAAUAUGAAAGACAAUCAAGAAAGAACUGAUUUUAGCAUCAAAAUUGUUCUGAUCAAAUGAUCGAAAGAAUGGAUGUAAAGCAUGGGGAGAGAUUUGACACAACUUCAGUAUGUUGACAAGAUUAAAAAAGUUAGACAUUGAAAGAAUUAUGACAUUAUUUCACUGCAGUUGGCAAGAUUAUUAUAACUGAAAAAAAAUAUUGAACCCUUGCUUUUGAAAGUAAGGAUUGAUACGUCAUAAAUUUAAUGGUUUACGACGUUCAAAAGAAAAAGUUAGGUAUAAUUGCACAAAAAUCAGGUGAAGAUAUGAAGGUAGGCCAACUAAGCACUAAUGUCAUUGAGAUUUGAAUUUUGAGGAGUUAUUAAUUUGCGCUCUUGAAAGACAUUACAGAGCGUCUUUGAACUGUUCCAAAAAAUUUGCCCCGGUUUUGCAUAUCAGGGAAUCUUUUUGUAACAGUGAAGAAAUCGAACCCUAAUGCAGGGUUGCCUAUGUAUCUUUUCAGGGCAAGAAUCAGGUCAAAAUGUAGUUCAAACCUAUACAUAGCUAGUGGCGAUAUUACUAAGGUGCAUCUUUUAACUGAUUCGCUAUACAAAACAAAGGCUAUCUCGCUAAAGUAUAAUCAAUUUAGAGCAAAUAAAUAUGUAUAGACACAAUAAUCCUUCAAAUAUGUACAAAAAUUAUAAUAAUAUGUCACUCGGGGCAUAAACCCUUCAGACAUUUGGACAAAAAUUGACUACUAUGCAUGUACCUAAAAUGCAUUAUUUUAGCUCUAUAUUAUGUUGACUAAAAGUAGAUAGACACGGACUGGGAUUUUCUAUAUGAGAAGACACGUGGUUCCAAGACAGUAAAACUUCCGCUCACCCCAUGUAUACACCAACUCUCUAAAAUAAGGCGAUUUAAAUUUUUUUGAGAAAGUAAAAUGUACAAUCCGCGUGUACAAUGUGUGUGUGUCAGUUUUCCAAAAUGGAGGAAAUAUAAACGAAAUGACAAUUUAUAUAAAGCGAUAAAAAAGAACAAUCUAUAAAAAUUAAUAAAAAAUAAAUAAUUUAAGCCAUAUAAUCAUGAUAAAUCAAAAAAAAUUAGUAUGAAAUAAAUAACAAUGUAUAAAAACGUAAAUAUUUACCUAAAUCUGUAAUGGUUAGAACCUUGAUUUCCCAGCAGAGUCGCCAAACUGCCAUACCUUAUUUUUACUUAAGGUCAAAAUGAACACGACAUUAUGGACUCAAAAAAAUUAAUUUUGUAUAGAGUCGCCACCUAAUUUUAAAGAAAAAUAGGAAACCUAUUUAUUUAUUAUAAAUAUGACUUUAUUUAAUCUACGAAACCAAUUUAGAUUUUAGGUAAGGGUUCAAAUUAUUCCGAAGAAAUGGGGUUAGGCACCCUUCAGAAUCCACAAAUAUGGUUCCCGACCAGAUUUAGGUUUAUUAAAAGAAAAAAAAAAGAGAAAAUUAACAUUUGUAAAUGCAAGUAUACAAUAUGUAUUACAUAUAAUACCUAUAUUAUCGUAAAAAUAUAUAAAAGUAUGCAGAGAUAUAUAUAAAUAAAAUUAUUUAAGCAUAUAUAUGAAAAGAAAAGAUUAUACUAAAAAAUACUAUGCAAUAUCUUUUCAUUUAUAAGUAUGAAUUAAUUGAUUAAGUAACUAAAUUAAUUUAAUUUUUAAUAUAAAUAUUAAUGGCCUAAAUUUGCCUAAACGCACAGUAAAGAUUGUAUAGAUAAAGAAUAUCCCUGUUCAACAGCCCAAAAAAUAAAAUUUUCACUAUAAUUAAUAUUUGUACAAUUGCAAGAAUAUAAAAAAGUAUAAACACAAGAUUUAAAUCUUCUGUGAAUGUCAUUUCCGAUGAGUAUUUUCGAGAACCUGUACAAAUACUUGUAAAUAAAAUGUUAGUAACAAAUAAAUAAUUAUCAAAAUAAAUUAAAAAUGUAUGUGUGCACAUAUAUAUAAAAGAAUAAUUUUUCGUUAAAAAGUGAGCUCAGAUUAGAUUUUAAAUACAAGCUGAUUUAGUAGUCGACCUAAAUUGUCUUAUCAAGAUACGAAUCAUAAAACAUUUGGCGUUGUUAUAAAAAUUUCGUCAUCGUCAAAUUUAUUUAUUUUAUUAUGUAUUUAUAUACGUAAUCUGUCUUUUUAUUUGCAAAGUCCUAGAAAAUUGACAGAGAAUUUUUUUCAUCGGAGUGUUGGCCCUCAAUAUAAAAUAAUAACUUUGAUAAAAUUAAAUCCAUCUUUUGUAAUGGGAUGGCCUCAAAUAUCCAGACAGAGAGAGAAUUUCAUUGGCAAGUAAUAUAAUAUAUGUUCAUUAUCAGCGUUUCUUCCAAGGGUAAUAACCCAACAGUGUUAAAAAAGAAACCAACCAGCUAAAUCAUGAACAAUACAAUUUCCACAAAGUAAUACAAUUGCCACAAAAGCAUAGCAAAGUAACACCAUCAACAAAGCAACACAAGCAACGACAUGGGAAUAGUGAGUAAGCUUAUCCAAAUAAAUCAUACUGAAUCAUCUAGAAAAUCAAACAGUCCGAUAAAUCGCUAGGAAAAAUAUAAGAUCACUAAAAUAUGUUCAAACAUAUAUGAAAAUAAUAAAGUGCAGAAAAUCAGGUUAUCAAUUUUAUUGGAGAUCUACUGAAAAUCCAACUCUGGUCAAAUUCAUACAGAUAACAUAGCAAAAUAAAAUAAAUAAGCAUCUCGCUCAACCGAGACAAAGCAGCGAUGAAAGUGAAGUUGCUUCAACAGAUCUCUCCGGAGAAACGCCAAAAGGACAUAAAUCUGGCCAGAUUUGGCCGUUAUCGCGGGACAGUAGCGGCGGUGGUAGUGGUUUUUAGCUGAAACUCGCCGGCAAUCACCUCCGGUGAGCCAAUAGUGGAGCAGCGGGAUGAAAAAAAGAGAGGAAAGAGGGGCAAACAGUGGUGGUGGCCUGAAUUAUUAUUUGAUGCACGUGGAAAGAGAGAAAAGGAGAGAAGGCAGUUCUCAGAGCUCCGUCUAUGGAGGCAGUGAAAGGGGAAAAGAGAAAAUGAGAGUGGAGAGAAGACUAUGCGUGUGUUGUGUGUAUUUUUUGUGGGGUAUGGAUACGUAUAUGUUGGUAUUUAAAAAGAAAGAAAAAAUAACAGCAAUUUAGUCAAAUCUAUUUUUCCAACAAAAUCCCUUAAAUAGGGAGAGUACGUAAAACAAAGUAAAAAAAAAAAUUGACCGACAUCUUGACUCUACUUAUUUAUUAUUUUGUGAAUUAAAAUAAUUGAAC
rnacentral:lncRNA from 1 species